GCCCGGGUGGUGGAAUUGGUAGACACUAUGGACUUAAAAUCCAUUGGCCAAUGCGGCCGUGCCGGUUCGAGUCCGGCCCCGGGUA
rnacentral:tRNA from 1 species